rnacentral:rRNA from 1 species
UACGAAGGGGGCUAGCGUUGCUCGGAUUGACUGGGCGUAAAGGGCGCGUAGGCGGUUGUACAGUCAGACGUGAAAUUCCUGGGCUCAACCUGGGGGCUGCGUUUGAUACGUGCGGACUUGAGUGCGGAAGAGGGUCGUGGAAUUCCCAGUGUAGAGGUGAAAUUCGUAGAUAUUGGGAAGAACACCAGUGGCGAAGGCGGCUCACUGGUCCGGUACUGACGCUGAGGUGCGAAAGCGUGGGGAGCAAACAGG